rnacentral:rRNA from 1 species
GCUAGGUGUGGGUCCCAUUCCACGGGGUCCGUGCCGCAGCUAACGCAUUAAGCGCCCCGCCUGGGGAGUACGGCCGCAAGGCUAAAACUCAAAGGAAUUGACGGGGGCCCGCACAAGCGGCGGAGCAUGCGGAUUAAUUCGAUGCAACGCGAAGAACCUUACCAAGGCUUGACAUGUACCGGAAACUCCCAGAGAUGGGGGCCCCGCAAGGUCGGUACACAGGUGGUGCAUGGUUGUCGUCAGCUCGUGUCGUGAGAUGUUGGGUUAAGUCCCGCAACGAGCGCAACCCUCGUUCUAUGUUGCCAGCACGUGAUGGUGGGGACUCAUAGGAGACUGCCGGGGUCAACUCGGAGGAAGGUGGGGAUGACGUCAAAUCAUCAUGCCCCUUACGUCUUGGGCUUCACGCAUGCUACAAUGGCCGGUACAGAGGGCUGCGAAACCGUGAGGUGGAGCGAAUCCCUUAAAGCUGGUCUCAGUUCGGAUUGGGGUCUGCAACUCGACCCCAUGAAGUCGGAGUCGCUAGUAAUCGCAGAUCAGCAACGCUGCGGUGAAUACGUUCCCGGGCCUUGUACACACCGCCCGUCAAGUCACGAAAGUCGGUAACACCCGAAGCCGGUGGCCCAACCCCUUGUGGGAGGGAGCCGUCGAAGGUGGGGCUG